UACGAAGGGGGCUGGCGUUGCUCGGAAUCACUGGGCGUAAAGCGCACGUAGGCGGCUUUUUAAGUCAGGGGUGAAAUCCUGGAGCUCAACUCCAGAACUGCCUUUGAUACUGAGAAGCUUGAGUCCGGGAGAGGUGAGUGGAACUGCGAGUGUAGAGGUGAAAUUCGUAGAUAUUCGCAAGAACACCAGUGGCGAAGGCGGCUCACUGGCCCGGUACUGACGCUGAGGUGCGAAAGCGUGGGGAGCAAACAGG
rnacentral:rRNA from 1 species